UACGUAGGGAGCAAGCGUUGUCCGGAAUCAUUGGGCGUAAAGAGCGUGUAGGCGGUCCUGUAAGUCCGCUGUGAAAGUCAAGGGCUCAACCCUUGAAUGCCGGUGGAUACUGCAGGACUAGAGUCCGGAAGAGGCGAGUGGAAUUCCUGGUGUAGCGGUGAAAUGCGCAGAUAUCAGGAGGAACACCAAUGGCGAAGGCAGCUCGCUGGGACGGUACUGACGCUGAGACGCGAAAGCGUGGGGAGCAAACAGG
rnacentral:rRNA from 1 species